CUACAUGCAGUCGAACGAUGAAUCUAGCUUGCUAGAUAUGAUUAGUGGCGGACGGGUGAGUAACAUUUAGGAAUCUACCUAGUAGUGGGGGAUAGCUCGGGGAAACUCGAAUUAAUACCGCANACGACCUACGGGUGAAAGGGGGCGCAAGCUCUUGCUAUUAGAUGAGCCUAAAUCAGAUUAGCUAGUUGGUGGGGUAAAGGCCCACCAAGGCGACGAUCUGUAACUGGUCUGAGAGGAUGAUCAGUCACACCGGAACUGAGACACGGUCCGGACUCCUACGGGAGGCAGCAGUGGGGAAUAUUGGACAAUGGGGGCAACCCUGAUCCAGCCAUGCCGCGUGUGUGAAGAAGGCCUUUUGGUUGUAAAGCACUUUAAGCAGGGAGGAGAGGCUAAUGGUUAAUACCCAUUAGAUUAGACGUUACCUGCAGAAUAAGCACCGGCUAACUCUGUGCCAGCAGCCGCGGUAAUACAGAGGGUGCGAGCGUUAAUCGGAAUUACUGGGCGUAAAGCGAGUGUAGGUGGCUCAUUAAGUCACAUGUGAAAUCCCCGGGCUUAACCUGGGAACUGCAUGUGAUACUGGUGGUGCUAGAAUAUGUGAGAGGGAAGUAGAAUUCCAGGUGUAGCGGUGAAAUGCGUAGAGAUCUGGAGGAAUACCGAUGGCGAAGGCAGCUUCCUGGCAUAAUAUUGACACUGAGAUUCGAAAGCGUGGGUAGCAAACAGGAUUAGAUACCCUGGUAGUCCACGCCGUAAACGAUGUCUACUAGCCGUUGGGGUCCUUGAGACUUUAGUGGCGCAGUUAACGCGAUAAGUAGACCGCCUGGGGGAGUACGGCCGCAAGGUUAAAACUCAAAUGAAUUGACGGGGGCCCGCACAAGCGGUGGAGCAUGUGGUUUAAUUCGAUGCAACGCGAAGAACCUUACCUGGUCUUGACAUAGUGAGAAUCCUGCAGAGAUGCGGGAGUGCCUUCGGGAAUUCACAUACAGGUGCUGCAUGGCUGUCGUCAGCUCGUGUCGUGAAAUGUUGGGUUAAGUCCCGCAACGAGGGCAACCCUUUUUCCUUAUUUGCCAGCGGGUUAAGCCGGGAACUUUAAGGAUACUGCCAGUGACAAACUGGAGGAAGGCGGGGGACAACUUCAAGUC
rnacentral:rRNA from 1 species